rnacentral:rRNA from 1 species
GGGUCAGUAGGUUGGUCGUGCCACCGGUACGUACUGGUCUCACUGAUUCCUCCUUCCUGAAGAACCUUAAUGCCAUUAAUUUGGUGUUGCGGGGAAACAGGACUGUUACUUUGAAAAAAUUAGAGUGUAUAAAGCAAGCUAACGCUUGAAUACAUUAGCAUGGAAUAAUGAAAUAGGACGAUCGAUCCUAUUUUGUUGGUUUCUAGGAUUGACGUA